GGGCGCCAACUAGACAAUCUGGUCAUCUCAACUGUGAAACCUAAAAAUUGUGGGACUUGUAGUUUUUGUGUUAUUCACGCUUCGUAAACUACAUUUCCCAAAAUGCCAAUGUAGCCGGUCAGUCCCACUGUCGGACUUGAAGUGUUCCUUAAGCUGUGAAAGAAUGAGGAUGAACUUUGGGUUGACUUUCAGGGCAGCGAAAGGCUGCUGGACAGUGAACCUCAGCCAGCAGUGCUCACAUGGAUCCACUGGGUUAUUUGUGCCACCAAGUCCUCCCGUGGACCCUGAGAAGGUCAAAGAAUUACAGCGCUUCAUCACCCUUUCCAAGAGACUCCUAGUGAUGACCGGGGCAGGAAUCUCCACGGAGUCAGGGAUCCCAGACUACAGGUCAGAAAAGGUGGGACUUUAUGCCCGCACUGACCGGAGGCCCAUCCAGCACGGGGAUUUUGUACGGAGUGCUCCAAUCCGCCAGCGGUACUGGGCGAGAAACUUUGUGGGCUGGCCUCAGUUCUCCUCUCAUCAGCCUAACCCUGCACACUGGGCUUUGAGCAACUGGGAGAGACUUGGAAAGCUGUACUGGUUGGUGACCCAAAACGUGGAUGCCUUGCACACCAAGGCGGGGAGUCAGCGCCUAACGGAGCUCCACGGAAGCAUGCACAGGGUCCUCUGCUUGGAUUGUGGUGAACAGACUCCCCGUGGGGCGUUGCAGGAGCGUUUUGAAGUCCUGAACCCCACCUGGAGUGCUGAGGCCCACGGCCUGGCUCCCGACGGCGACGUCUUCCUUACAGAGGAGCAGGUGCGGAGUUUUCAGGUCGCACCCUGUGCUCGAUGUGGAGGCCCCCUGAAACCAGAUGUAGUUUUCUUUGGGGACACAGUGAACUCCGACAAGGUCGACUUUGUGCACAGGCGUGUCAAAGAAGCCGACUCUCUCUUGGUGGUGGGAUCGUCCUUACAGGUGUACUCAGGUUACAGGUUUAUCCUCACUGCCCGGGAGAAGAAGUUACCAAUUGCAAUACUGAACAUUGGGCCCACUCGGUCGGAUAACUUGGCGUGUCUGAAACUGGAUUCUCGUUGUGGGGAGUUGCUGCCUUUAAUAGACCCACACUGACCACAGCCUGAUGUUCCUGAGCCAGAAGCUGGGGCUUUCACUGUAUCCUGCUGCUAAAGAUCCCUAAGGAUUCAUCCCUUCUCCCUUUAACUAAUUGAAGCUCACUGAGUUCAGCCUGUAGAGAGCAGCAAACCAACAUUUCUCUGCCAGCCUAUCUUGGAACUGGGCAAGUUUCAGAGCCAAGGAGUUAAAAUCUUUAGGCUGAUGAGAUUUGCCCCUGAAGAAAGACUUUUUCAAAGCAGCAGUUUCCCCUGAUAAGAAAACUGCUUUCACUUCCUUUUUAUCUCAUCAGGCAGAAGAAAUGGCCCAAGAAAUAUGUAGGUCAGAAUGGUCUCUGGAGU